rnacentral:rRNA from 1 species
AGAACGAACGCUGGCGGCAUGCCUAAUACAUGCAAGUCGAACGAACACUUCGGUGUUAGUGGCGCACGGGUGCGUAACGCGUGGGAAUCUGCCCUUGGGUUCGGAAUAACAGUUGGAAACGACUGCUAAUACCGGAUGAUAUCGAAAGAUCAAAGAUUUAUCGCCCAGGGAUGAGCCCGCGUAGGAUUAGCUAGUUGGUGAGGUAAAGGCUCACCAAGGCGACGAUCCUUAGCUGGUCUGAGAGGAUGAUCAGCCACACUGGGACUGAGACACGGCCCAGACUCCUACGGGAGGCAGCAGUAGGGAAUAUUGGACAAUGGGCGCAAGCCUGAUCCAGCAAUGCCGCGUGAGUGAUGAAGGCCUUAGGGUUGUAAAGCUCUUUUACCCGAGAUGAUAAUGACAGUAUCGGAGAAUAAGCCCCGGCUAACUCCGUGCCAAGCGACGCCGAGU